AGAAAAUUUUUAGCUGUGACUUGCAAAUAUAAUAAUGACUUUUACUGCACAAUAUGUAUGUACCUAAUUAUGUAUUUAAUAUUAAUUACUGUAGUAGGUAUAAUAUUAUUAAAGAUCAUAAUGCUCAAAAAUUCCCAACAAGCAUUUCAGCUCAACCACCCAUGUGAACAGAUCAACACAGAAACAAAAAACUUGUAAUUAUACACUAUGUUGAAAGCCACUAUGGGAUCAUAAAUCAUUGAAACCUGUAGAGAGCACAGAAGUAGUAAGAAACAAAUUAUGGAAGGAAAUUUGUGAAGAGCUACAAAGUUAGUAAAUUAAUUAGAAAACAAAAUUUUUAUUUAUGAUUUAAUUCCCCUUUAUGAUGUUGAUACAAUACAGUAAAUGGAAAUAUAUGAGGGAUGAAUUUGUCAAGAAAGGGGAGUAAAAGUGGAUCUGUUACAAUAAAGGAAUGGUUUUAUAUGUGACAUCUUACGGUUUUAGAUGAUAUAAUUUCAUAUAAACCGUAAGUUAAAAAAUAUUUUAAUAUUUAUUGUUUUAUGAAAAAAAAAUCUAAAGAUUAUUUAUAAUAUGUUUAUAAAAUCUUUUAUAGGACUAUAUUUAAUUUAGCUCUGGCAACUCCUAUUGUAUCAACAAACAAAAUUAAGAACAAUGCAAGUGGAAGUGGAAAUGGUUAUAAAAACAUAAAUUAAAUUCUAAGCCUAAAAGUGAAUAUUCAUUUUAGAAAGGUUUAUAUGUGUAAUUAAAAAAUGUUUUUAGAUAAAUCAAAUAAUUUGAGACUCCCCCUCCAGACAUUACUACUGUUGAUGAUAAAUUUGGUAUUUACCUAGUCAGCAUUAUGAAUGAUUUAUCAAACAAAUAAAAAGGAAACUAAGGUGAAUUUAUAGCAAGAGUGUUGAG
rnacentral:lncRNA from 1 species